AAAUAGUUAAGGGACAAAAUAGUCCCCAUGCCAAAAAUGACACUGUUCGAGUCUCUUUUCACGCUCUUCUUUUUGCUUUUUUACAUUUCCUUUAAAACCCAUUUGACCACAAUACAAUUGCAGAAACCCCAUAACAAAGAUCAAAACUGAAAAGUCACAGUAAUACUUUGUUUCUCCCUCCAAAAAGAAAGUCCCAGUUUCUUCCUUGCUGCGUGGUGGUGAAGUCGUCGAAGGAGAAAGUGAAGGGAUUGCAUUGUUUGGUUGCCAUCUCUCUUCAUUUACAAAGAUGGAUGAUUACUAUGUGGUUCUAGUUUUUUAUCAUGGGGAUAAUUUUAUUAGAAGAGGUGUUGGUGAGCUUGUUUAUGUGCAUGGUAAGGUAGA